rnacentral:rRNA from 1 species
GGACGGGUGAGUAAUGCCUAGGAAAUUGCCCUGAUGUGGGGGAUAACCAUUGGAAACGAUGGCUAAUACCGCAUGAUGCCUACGGGCCAAAGAGGGGGACCUUCGGGCCUCUCGCGUCAGGAUAUGCCUAGGUGGGAUUAGCUAGUUGGUGAGGUAAGGGCUCACCAAGGCGACGAUCCCUAGCUGGUCUGAGAGGAUGAUCAGCCACACUGGAACUGAGACACGGUCCAGACUCCUACGGGAGGCAGCAGUGGGGAAUAUUGCACAAUGGGCGCAAGCCUGAUGCAGCCAUGCCGCGUGUGUGAAGAAGGCCUUCGGGUUGUAAAGCACUUUCAGUCGUGAGGAAGGUAGUGUAGUUAAUAGCUGCAUUAUUUGACGUUAGCGACAGAAGAAGCACCGGCUAACUCCGUGCCAGCAGCCGCGGUAAUACGGAGGGUGCGAGCGUUAAUCGGAAUUACUGGGCGUAAAGCGCAUGCAGGUGGUUUGUUAAGUCAGAUGUGAAAGCCCGGGGCUCAACCUCGGAAUUGCAUUUGAAACUGGCAGACUAGAGUACUGUAGAGGGGGGUAGAAUUUCAGGUGUAGCGGUGAAAUGCGUAGAGAUCUGAAGGAAUACCGGUGGCGAAGGCGGCCCCCUGGACAGAUACUGACACUCAGAUGCGAAAGCGUGGGGAGCAAACAGGAUUAGAUACCCUGGUAGUCCACGCCGUAAACGAUGUCUACUUGGAGGUUGUGGCCUUGAGCCGUGGCUUUCGGAGCUAACGCGUUAAGUAGACCGCCUGGGGAGUACGGUCGCAAGAUUAAAACUCAAAUGAAUUGACGGGGGCCCGCACAAGCGGUGGAGCAUGUGGUUUAAUUCGAUGCAACGCGAAGAACCUUACCUACUCUUGACAUCCAGAGAACUUUCCAGAGAUGGAUUGGUGCCUUCGGGAACUCUGAGACAGGUGCUGCAUGGCUGUCGUCAGCUCGUGUUGUGAAAUGUUGGGUUAAGUCCCGCAACGAGCGCAACCCUUAUCCUUGUUUGCCAGCGAGUAAUGUCGGGAACUCCAGGGAGACUGCCGGUGAUAAACCGGAGGAAGGUGGGGACGACGUCAAGUCAUCAUGGCCCUUACGAGUAGGGCUACACACGUGCUACAAUGGCGCAUACAGAGGGCAGCCAACUUGCGAAAGUGAGCGAAUCCCAAAAAGUGCGUCGUAGUCCGGAUUGGAGUCUGCAACUCGACUCCAUGAAGUCGGAAUCGCUAGUAAUCGUGGAUCAGAAUGCCACGGUGAAUACGUUCCCGGGCCUUGUACACACCGCCCGUCACACCAUGGGAGUGGGCUGCAAAAGAAGUAGGUAGUUUAACCUUCGGGGGGACGCUUACCACUUUGUGGUUCAUGACUGGGGUGAAGUCGUAACAAGGUAGCGCUAGGGGAACCUGGCGCUGGAUCACCUCCUUA